ACCCACUGUUUUUUGUUAGUUGAUCUGAUCUCUGUUAAUUCAUAUUUUUUAGUGCAAAGAUUUCAUCCGAGAUGUGCAAAAACAAAUGGCACCCUACGUGGCUUUUUCUUUUAACAGCACCUCCGAACGAAAACGCUAGGCGAGCCGCGGGCCAAGACCCCCUGGUGAAGAUCUGGACUCGGGCCGGUGGAUCCUGGAGGAACCGGCUUAAGCCCCUGGAGUGGAGCGACUCUGACUGAUGAGCUUUUUGAAAGUUGAUCAGACACUUAUGCUAAGAAGGGGAAACUGGAGCAAAGGCAUCCUUAAUUAUCUGAUGAGGGGAAGCUUAUCUGAACGGUUUCUUUUUCUCUCCUCUUUUAUUCUGCCGGAUCACAUGGCAGAUCUUUACAUGACAAAAGAGCUACCUGGCUGGCCCGCUUCAUUUAAAACUCCAUCCGGAUCCUAGAGACACUCUGCGUGUGUGAGUCCGGGCUUCUGGUCCGACGGUGAUCCACAACAAGUCCCUCCUUCACGUUACGUACAACAACACGUUCUGGAGUUGUAAUUUUCCUGAAAUACUGUGCCAUAAAGAUUUCAGGCCCGAGCAUAUUGGAACAUUUAUGGGUUCUCUCCCUGUGAUAAGUGUGUAAUUAAUUCACGAUUAAAAGUAUUAGUACA